UUCAAACACAAAGGAAGUGCUUUUAUUUUGUAGCAUUUGCGUGUACUUCCUUUUCAGGCAGCAGGCACGAGGAGGAACAUUCUGAAAUUGGCUUGAUUGGUGACUUUCCACUGAGAAGAAGCCAUCGAAGCUCUGCUGCUCCUCCACGGAUGAGAGGUUCCCAGCGUGGCUCCAUGUUAUCUUGGCGGCCGGCUUUCCUCCCUCCGCUUUACACACAGCCACCAUUUUGUUGUCAGCACGCCACUCCAACCAGGAAGACAUUCUAGGAGGAACUUAAGCGGUAACAAGAGGUCCAUCAUUAUGUUUUACAGACGGUGUUCAGGAUGUGCCGUGCUUCCACUUCGACUGUGUUCUCCCCGCCAUCUUUGUUGUAGUUUUUAGCGCUUCCAUAACGAGUCUGCUGACUGUUUAAGGUCAAGCAAUAUGCGACUUUGUGUUAGAAAUGGCAACAGCAGAGGAUACAUGUGCAUGUACGAGCCACUCUGCCCCUCGACAAGAUAAUCGAGAAAAAGAAGGAAAUCAUUGACGACGACGACAGACUCCAUCUAAGGAGAUAUCCGCCAAUGGGAAAAACGUCACAAGAGGAGCAAAUCUGGAGGAAGUCUGAAAGAAGGCAAGAUUAUUUUAUAAAUAUCUCUGAACGCCUCCAUGGUUUGAUGGAGAUUCCAAAUACACAACAGUCGGUUCCAAAAUCUGAGAAAAUUUGGUUUAGCAUAUUCGGUCCCCUUUUAGUCAUAAUAUGACGUGAAAAAAAAGUUGUAAUUUUACAUGACAUAAAAGAAACAUUUUUACAUUUUUUGAGGGUACAUUUCUAUUGCAGCCUAUAAGGAAAAAGGGGAAUGUUCGAUGAAUAAAUUUGAAAUUUUACAAGAAAAUUCCAUAAUGUUACAAGAAAAAGUUUAACAUUAAAUUAGUAGAAGAAUAAAUCGGAAUUUUUGUCAUAUUACCGUGUGAAAAAACAUCUAAAGUUAGGAUAAUUUAGGAAAAAAAGUGUGACUAUUUAAUAAAGUAAAAGAAGUGAGAAAAGUUGGUUUUGCAUUUCGUCGUAAUAUUAAGCAAAAAACCCCGUUACAGAUUACACUUGUGAUUUUACAUGAAAUAAAACAUUUUUAAGUAUUUUGAGGGUACAUUUCUAUAGUGGCCUAUAAGAAAAAGGGGGAACUUAAAUGAAUACAUUUUUAAUUUUGCACAAAAAUCCCAUAA